rnacentral:lncRNA from 1 species
GGUUUAUCUACAUGAGAUGUCGGUGGAUAUGAAUAAACAGUCCAACUACACAGCUGAAAUACAAUGAACAACAUAAUACUGAUAAAUUGCAUAGUAAUUUUACUCAUACAGGAAGGUGAGAAUUACAAUUUAUAUCAGUUCAUUAAAAUUCAGACACUUGUACGGAAAACAAAUAGUUAACAGAAAACGAUACGUAGUUAAGUUUGUAGACCGUAGCAUUGGUUUUCAAGAUAAUAAAUUAAGGAAGAACAAACUAUGGAAAUAUUAUGAUAAAAGACAGGCCGAAGACUUAAACAAACAUCAAUAAAAUCAUUAUAAGGUGUUAUCAACUGGUUGUUUCUGUAUUAACACUGAUAUAGAUUAAAGGUUUGCUGUAGGGUCGAGGUCAAUACAACAGACCGAGAAUCUAUACCAGUGCAAAUACAGAAACAGCCAGUUCAUAACACUUUUAUUAAAUAAACCAAAAUUUUUCAAUACAGACUUGUUCUGAAUGCGGAAUUACAUACAUCAAAUGUGAAUAUAGAGCCAAUAUUUCCAAUACGGACUGGCAAUGACUCCUGAUUUACAUGCACCAUAUAUGUAAUUCAGAAUUGAUUGCGAGUCCGGAUUGGAAAUAUUGGUCCGGGCCGAAAAUUACUAAAGAUCAGAUGAUUGAUAUGACCAGGACGACGUCACUAGUAUGACACAUGCCGUUUUGGUAGUAUUAGGGCUCUUUUAAUCGUAUUAUUUAUUAACAAAAUUUGUUAUUCAUGAAUGGCAAAAAAAAUGUUUUUUAUAUAAAGCUAUGGACAAUAACCUUCCUUUAUCCUACAAAUGCUUAUUUCGACAUUGCACAAUGACAUGCUUUCAUCAAGCUACAGUGGAGAUCAGUUCUAACCUCUCAUAAAUUCUGUCAGAAUCUGUCAGGAGAACUGUUCUAAACAGUAUGAGAACUGUCAGUCUGACACCUUUUAGUCAUUUAGGUUAGAACUGUUCUAGCUAGAACUGAUUUGGUCAGUUCUACCUAGAACUGAUUAAUAUUAUAUAGAGUUUUGCUAUUUUGCCGGUUUUAUUUCAGAUUUAUAAUCGGCAAGAGAACAUGUUUAACCGCGCCAUAUUCUGCAUGUAUGUGCCUGUUCCAAGUCAGGAGCCCGUAAUUCAGUGAUUUUCUUUGGUUGAUGUGUAACAUAAAAUAUUUCCCGUUUUUCUUUCAUUUUUUGUACAUAAAUUAGGCCGUUAAUUAGUAUUAUGGGGGGAGGGGGGUUAUUAUUUGAAUUGUUUUACAUCUGUUAUUCUUGGAGUCAGGAUGGCUCGUUAUGACAUAACAAAAUUAUCUGACCUCAUUAACCAAAUGUAAUAUCUGUUUAUGAGUAGUUUUCACACCUCGGACGGACCUGUUUAACUAAAAUCUUUGACCACACAUCUAACUGAUUAUUUGCUCUUCUUUCUGUAAAAUCAUAUAGCUGCACAGAACUUCAGUUUUAAUUUAGGUCAAGAGACUGUACUAUACAAGUACAGCAACAUUGGAGAACAAUUUUGUUCGCAUCAAUUUAUGUGCCAGCAUCAGGGCAGAUCCAGCCAUUAAAAAGGGGGGGGGGUUCCAACUAUAUGUUCCCAUUCAAUGCAUUGAUCGUGGAAAAAGGUCAACUCCUGAACCCCCCCCUUAUCUGCCAAUGAGCAUGCCUAUUUUUAUUAAAAUAUUGAAUCAUAAACAAUAUCAGUAGUUUUAUACUUCAGAUGAGUCGUAUAAUAAAAUCUUUUGACCGCAUCAACCAAACUUACCAUAUUUGCUUUUUUAUGUAAAUCUAAAUAGCUGCACAGUAGUUCAGUUAUAAUUUUAGUCAGAGGGACUGUAGUAUAUAAAUACUACAAUUAUGGAAAUCAAUACCACAAUUUGUUUUAUCGUAUCAAUUGAGGGUGCCAGCAUUUCCUAUUUUUAUUCAAAAUAUCGCAUAAGAAACAAAUAUCUGUAGUUUUCAUACCUCAGACUGACAUUAAACAUGUAUCAUGUACAAAAUUAUUUGUCUGCAUCAAUCAAAACUGACCAUAUUGACAUCAAUCUAUAUUUGACCGCAUCAAAAACUGACCAUAUUUGACCGCAUCAAAAAACUGACCAUAUUUUGUCUUUUUAUGUAACUCUUAUCGAAUAGUAAAUGUAAUAUUUUUUGUAAGAUGGAUUGUAAAAUCAUGAAUACAAAUGAUAGAAAUAUUUGAACACAAUGCUACCUAAUUUCAUUUGCAUCAAUUUAGAAUCCAGAUGUCCUCUUUUAUUCAAAAUAUUGCUCAUAAAACAAAUAUCAGAGUUUUCAUACUCAGACUACUGUAUAACAAAAUAAUUUGUCGCAUCAACCAAACUGACAUAUUUGCACUUUAUUAUGACAUUGUCAAUCUUAAUAGCCGCAAAGUAAAUCACGUAUAUUUUAUAUCAGGAUGAUUGUUAAUAUAAAUGAAAGCAUAUUGGAAAAAUAAAAUUAUGCUCACAUCAGCUUAUAGUACCAGCAUGUCCUCUUUUUCAUCAAAAUUUUGAAUCGUAACUAAUUUCAGUAGUUUUGAUAUCUCAGACUGACUCCUGAAUAUAAAAAUUAUGUGUCACAUCAACCAAAACUGACCAUAUUUACAGCAUCACCAAAACUGACCAUAUGUGACAGCAUCAACCAAAACUGACCAUAAUUACACUUUGUUAUGUAAAUCUUUAUAUAUAUAUAUAUAUAGCCGAUACAAUCAUUAUAGUAAUACAAUUAUUACGAUGGAUUGCAUAAUUCAAUGACAGCAAUAACAAUGAAUAUUGAACACAUUUGCUUCAAAAAAUUUCCACAUAAUUUAGAAAUAUCAGAAAGUCCUCUUUUUAUUCAAAAUAUUGAAUUGUAAACAAAUUCAGUGGUUCGAUAUAUCAGACUGAGUGAGAGUUGUUUUAACAAAUUAUUUGACCGAUCAACCAAAACAGAACUUAUUUACACUUUAUCAUUAAUAUACAUGUAUGGUCUCAUUGUAAACAUGGAAACCAAUAUUAUUUCUAUGUGAGGACGGGAUCGUAGAUUAAAAAUGACACCAAUUUUGAAACACAAUACACUUACGCUAAUCCUGGCUGACCCACCCUCUUGAACUUUGAAGCAAUACAACAAUGAUUUCCAUUGUGGCGUCAGAAUUUGUUUUAUGACGUAAAUUUUACGGGAACCUGUGAUAUCCUUGGCAGACAAAUAGCGACAAGGUGUAUUUAUACCAUAUCUAAGAAUUUAGCGACCGUUAUUUCCUCUCUGUAUCCAUAAUAUGAACCGUCAUUAAACAUGCUCAAGUGACUUUUUAACAUGUUUAAAUCAGUAGUUUGUGAUUUUUUUUUUUUUUAAAACAAAAACUAUUAUGGCAUCAGCCAACACUCAUGACUGAUUAUAAUAACUUUUUUUAAAAAAAAAAAAAGUACAUUAUGGAAUUCUCUCUUGAAAUAGUUCCUGUUAAUAUAAUUUAAAGAAGCAAAGAAAAAGCAUGAUUUUGUUUGUAGCCGAACGUCCAGGGGCAAUUUUUCAUUCAUGUUCAGAUCCAGUAUAUUUUUCUGAGUUGCAGACUCCCAGAUAUCAUUUAUAACUGUUAUGGAUAAGUCUGGCUAAAUUGAUGAGAUGGUGCAAAUGUAUAUAUAGUUUUUUUACGUGUACAACACUUUUUUUCAUUAAUAUCCAUAAUUUCCACGGUACAUUUUCGUUUGAACAUUUGUCAAAACAGAAUCUUAAAUGAAUGUAAAUCCAAGGCAAAAAAGGUAAAUUACGAUUAAAAUUCCAUGAAUUAAAUGCAGAGUUUUAUUUAGGAAGAGACUGUUAAAACGGGACGAAAAACGUAAACAAUGAUGUUUCGUAUGCAAUCUUAUAAAAAUAUUUCUCCGAGUUGGGUAACCUUCUAUUUCACUUCGUAUUUGUACAUGUAACGUAGUAAAGUCGUUUGAUCAGUAAAAAAUAUAGAAAGUCUGCUAUUUAAUAUAUAGCAAAGUAAAUGGAAGUGAUUUAUUUCUUCUAAAUUCUAAAGUGCCCUUACUGCAGUGACGUCAUUUAGAACGGUUCUACAGUACUGACUGAUUGUCAGUUCUGCUGACAGUUCUACGGUUAAAGUGAUUUUGAGUUCUACCUAGAACUGAUUUAGACAGUUCUACCCUAGAACUGAUCCUGACAGUUCUACCUAGAACUGAUUUAGUCAGUAUCUUUCAACUAAUUUGUGAUGGUGAAAAUUAUGCAAGGUCGAUAUUUGGAGUAGUUUUUGUGUCACACCUCUGUAGUCUGUAUAAUGUGAAAAGACACGAUCAGGUUCUUAACUGGCAUUAGUACAUGAAGUAAAUGCUAUAUGAUGAGAAGUUGACAGUUGGACAGUUGAAAUCAUCCCUUUUGUCAUUAUUCUAGACUGAUGUUUUCCAUCUUAGUCAAUAUCGGAGAAAGAUAAUUUUCAUCUGGUGGAUCGUCUGCUUUCGGUAGUACGUGUAUCCUUAAUGUUAUGUUCACUGUGAUAUUGUGGGUUAUUGAGUGACAGAACAUCAUCCAUAUAUCAUGACGUAAGUUGAAGAGCUUUGCAAGAUGGUUUUGGUAUUUACUUUGAGAAGAUUCUGUAUGAAUUCUAAUAUAAGUACGAAAUCAAGACGGCUGGUAGUGUUGAAUAAUGAUGUUGAUGUGUUUCCCUCAGUUUUAGUUUGUAACCCGGAUUUGUGUUUUAUACUACUAUUGACUUUAUUUGAAUUCAUCUUCGUUGUCUUUGUUGUGGGAUUAAAUGUGGUUCUUUACAAAUUAAGUCUUUCUUUACUUCUUAUAAGGAGUUUGUAUCUACGUUCGCAAAUUUGGAUGAAAAAGCUCUGUUUUAUGAGAUGAGGUAGUCCAUCUUUUGAUUGAGAAUAUAGGCAUAGUAGUGUAUAUUUUAGAAUACUGAUCGGGCGGAACUUAAGAUUUUAUUUGCACAAAUAAAGUUUAUUUGAAGAUGUAUGUGAAAUACAUGUAUGUGAAUAAUGUAUGUGAAUAAUGUAUGUGAUAAAUACCCUUAUAAUUAUUAUUUCUGAUUUCUAACCACCUAUCAGUUUCACCAAAAGAUAUACAAAAGAAUGGAAGAAAAAAAGUUUAAAAUGUAGUAUUGAUAUGUGCUAUAGCACAGUAUUUUUAAGUAUUUUAAAGUAUUUUGUAUUACUAAUAUUCUGUUUUAAACCUUCCUAAUUCUGAAAUUAAAAUUAAAAGUAAUUGUAUACAGUCAUAUGAAAAAAUAUAAAACUUACAACCAACUUUUCCUCAUCAGCCAUUUUUGGUCUUUUUUUCUUCAUAAGAAUCAUGGAAGAGCGCUAGAAGAUAAAAAUAUUUUGUAAACAGAGAAAACUGCAGAAGCAAGCCUGGGUAGGGAGGCUACUAUACUAAGAAUUCUUUUUUUUUUGUGUGCCCAUUCCCCAUAAAAAAACAAAAACAACAGCAACAAAAUGCAAACGGAAUGAAAGAAGAAAAAAAACGAACAUCAAAACGUUAUGGAUAAUUGACAUAUCCAUAUUUUUAAUCUUCCGUCAUCUUAGGUAUACCUUCAUAUCAACACUUUCAAAAACGUAAAACUGUUUGCAUGUUUUUAACUCUAAAAAUCAAUGGCUAUGACUAAAUAUUUGCUGUGAAAAUUUACAUAAAAGUUUUUAAACAAGAAUUCACAAAUUUAAAGCACAAUUUAAAAAAACAAAAUAAGUUAAAAAUAAGAAAUUAUACAUUAUUAAUUUCAAAAAGACUGAGAAAUCAUUGACCUUCUUAGUGGGAAAGAUGUUAUGUUUAGAGUUUACUUGAUCCAUGAAAAACUAAAGACGAAUGUACACACUCGUUCGAUGAUUUAAUAUAGGCGUUGGAAGAAAUUUGUUAUCCUAUCAUAGUCUAAAGUAAUAAGCAUCAAAUGACUGAGGUAUCGUUGACUUUUGACCCAAUAAAUUUAAGCUUGAGCAUCAACUUGUUUUUUUUUAUAUUAAAAAUGGUGCUUUAAAUAACAGCUGAAAUAAACUAGCAGGAUUUUCUGCAGACUUUGAAAUCAAUAGAAAUCCACUGAAUAUUGGUUGUAAAAAAGAUAAUUUACAACAAAUGAAGGGUGAAGUUAUGUUCAUAUUUAAUACCGGAUUAAUGUCAAAACAUAAAAAUAAGAAUAAAAAAAUAAUAAAAAAAAAAAAAAAACAAACAAAAAACCGGGAAUUCUGAACGUGUGAUGAUACUUUAAAAUGUAUCGACCUUACAAAGAAUGGUGCAAAUAUUACAAAUAUUCGUGAAAUACAUUUCAUUAUACGCAUACAACUUAUUUUUUAUAUUUGAUCAAUGAACUCAUCAUAUAUACCAGGAUUGCAAUUUUGUAUUUGCGACAGAUCCGCGUUUCGUCUGCAAAAGACUUACAUGUAUCAGUGACGCUCGACUAAAAAAUUAUUAAAAGUUAAAAUAAAGUACGAAGUUGAAGGGUAUUGAGGACCAAAAAUUCCGAAAAGAUUUGCCAAAUACAGCUUAAAAUACUUAAGUACUGCAAAACUAUUAUCUGUUUGCUUCUAAAAAUUGCGGCACCUUCCCUCCGAAUCAAUGUCUCAUUCAUACAUAAGGAGUUUGAUGUUCAGUAGUUGUCGUUUGUUUAUGUGGUUAUAAUGUUUCUCGUUGCUCGUUUUUUUGUACAGAUUAGACCGUUGGUUUUCCCGUUUGAAUGGUUUUACACUAGUAAUUUUGUAGGGCCUUAUAUAGCUUGCUGUUCGGUGUGAGCCAAGGCUCCUUGAAGACCAUACUUUGACCUAUAAUGGUUUACUUUUGAAAAUUGUGAUUGGAUGGAGAGUUGUCUCAUUGGUACUCAUCCCACAUCUUCUUAUAUCUAUUAUGUCUUGUGAAGUUUUUGAACAACAAAAAAUAAUGUGGCCAUGGGAAUAUAUUUUAUUUUGCAUUUGUAUUGUUUGUUCGUACUGACUAUUAUUAUUAUAUAUAAAUUAAUUGUAGUUCAGUGUACAGUUGUAUUAUUGGCUGUUAAAGAGGAAUUUAACAACUCAGCACAAGUUACAUUUAGUUGUUAUUUAUCGAUUGGGUCACAUGAUUGCUCAGCUGAAUUUCUUUACAACAAACAAACACUUGAUACUCUGAGGUCAAGCAAAGGAAAAUGUUAUCACAAACUACAGUUAUGUAGCAGAGAGAGAUGCUCUUGUUCUCAAGACUGUAAUACAUUUAUUUUGAUUAUCACAAACCAGAAGUAUAAAAAUGGAGACAUCGUUGGAUGCGAAGUGCAGCACAUAAAUGAUGAAAAGAUACUGUCAACGACAGAAGAAAUAUUAUAUAAUGGCAGUG